rnacentral:rRNA from 1 species
AUACGUAGGGGGCGAGCGUUGUCCGGAAUGAUUGGGCGUAAAGGGCGCGUAGGCGGCGCGGUAAGUCUGGAGUGAAAGUCCUGCUUUCAAGGUGGGAAUUGCUUUGGAUACUGCCGCGCUUGAGUGCAGGAGAGGUUAUCGGAAUUCCCGGUGUAGCGGUGAAAUGCGUAGAGAUCCGGAGGAACACCAGUGGCGAAGGCGGGUAACUGGACUGCAACUGACGCUGAGGCGCGAAAGUGUGGGGAGCAAACAGGAUUAGAUACCCUGGUAGUCCACACUGUAAACGAUGAAUGCUAGGUGUAAGAGGUAUCGACCCCUUUUGUGCCGGAGUCAACACAAUAAGCAUUCCGCCUGGGGAGUACGGCCGCAAGGUUGAAACUCAAAUGAAUUGACGGG